ensembl:lncRNA
GUGGUAGAGAAGACCAGGCCCCAGCGACAAUGACCGAUUUGUCCAAGGAUUACGGUAGGGUUAAGACUUGCAAGGCUGCGGCCACUUGGUGGGGAACACAGGUGAGAAUGCAGAUCUCAAGCUUGGGGCAGGUAGAUGAGGCCACAGGACACCUGUCCUACUGAGCAGCCUCAGCCCCACAGAGCCCAUGCUCCCAGCUGCACAGGGCAGCUGGGAUGCCCGCCCUGACUCGAGCACGCUGGUGACCUUGGACCAGGGCUCUGCCCUCUCUGGGCCCGUCUCGUCCCUGCUCUAAGACAAGGGCACUUUAACUGCAUCAGGAAAGAAAGCGGGUUUCGCCUCGUGUGUCAGUUUCCUGCACUGGCUGAGUGCUGCCUGGGGCACCACACGGAGAAGGAAAGGGCGUCACAAUCAAUUUGUCAUGUCUCCCUGGGGUGGGGACCGGAGUGGGCACACCCAGCCUGGAUCUAUCACCAGGAGCCCCCACCCCUGGGGCUCGGCGUCCAGUGAGUCCACGAGCCUGAAGCCUCCAUGAAUGCACCCCUCCCAGGGACCCCCCUUUGCCGCACAGGAAGCAGGAAACGCCUUGAGCCUCUUUCUGAGGAGCACCCAGAGCAUCGUGCGCUGUGGCCCUGCCCUGCCCCCAGAGGGCCCUGAGCCCAGUUGGCUUGUGAUCUUGGGCCCGUAUCCACAGUGACACAGGCCUGCUGCCCCGCCAGCUCCCCAUCACCUUCCCCUCUAAUUGAUUCUGACAGAUGACCAGGCCUACCUGCCUUCAGUGCGGACUGAGUACAAGCGCGGCGUCUGAGUGAAGGCAGGAAGGACCGUACCGAGAGGGAAGGGCAGGAGCGAGCCUUCCCCUCACCUUCCUGGUUCUUGGCUGUGUCCUGAAUAGAGCGGGAAGAAAAGGACUUACUGUGUGCCAGCCACUUCCAGUCUGUCCUUCGUGUGCUCUUCACUCGUAUCCUGAGAGGCGGUUAAUACCCCUACUUGCCAGAUGAGAAAACUGAGUCCCAGAAAGCUUCAGUGACUCCCCCUAGUACUAUCAUUAUGAGCAAGGCUGGGAGGCUGCCACUUCCAGAAUCCAGGUGUUUCCUCUUUCUAGCCCAAUGACCAUAAGCGCACCACACCUGUGGCUCAAAAGGAUAUCAGAUCUAGUACUGAUGUCUGUUUUGCCGAGUUACCGUGGGGUGUCGCCCGUUCACACUGCCUCACGGGCUGUUCCACUGUCGCCCAUAAAACUGAAGACUCUGUCUCCUCAAGACGAAACUCCAUCUGUCGGCAUCCCCCUUGGCCAGGCAGAGCCCAGACUUGAGCCAGGGUUUUUAACUGACAGCCUGAGAACCCUGAGGAUCCUUGUUUUCCAGAGACAUCUAUUGAGUCUGUGCAGCAGGGAGGCCCCCGGCCAGUCCAUAGCAGGUGCCCAGGGUUUGUGAGGAGAACAAGCCAGCCCCAGAGACAGACACUGGAUGCUGCAGAAGAAGGGACUGGAAGGGCCUAACGACUGCAAAGGCUGCCUGGCCCAGCUGUGGUGAGCUCUGGGUAAAGCAGUGCCAUGGCCCGCGGGGGUGGCUCUGCGGAGUCACAGGACCGCACCGCCUCCAGUAUUCACAGGUAGCUCAGACACACAGAGGACUGCCAGCUGGGACAAGCAGGAGAAGACUCAGUGUCGCUGUCACUCCAGCCCCAAACAAGAGACCUAUUGUUGUUGUUGUUGUC